CGAAGCUAUUUAAUAAGUACACUCCAAUCAAGGCAUCAACCUAGUUCAAAUAAACUGAUGUCAUCCAGAAUCUAGUAGUUGACUUUAAUCAAAUCCAGCAAGCUCAAAUAAAUACAAGUGUACCUGAACGAGGGCAAUCAAAAGUUUCCCAUAAUUUUAGUAUAGCCCGCAGGACAAAGAGGUCUCAUGUUUGGACUGAUACACUCCCUUGCAUAUGACCCCAUGCACUUCACUGAAAAUUAUAGCUAGCUGG
rnacentral:misc_RNA from 1 species